rnacentral:lncRNA from 1 species
AUUUUUUUUAAUUUUUUUUAGAUCUUUACUAGGAUUUUUUUUUUCACUUACUACUUUAGACAACAGAAGAGCUUAUUUCUAAGAAGAACUGUAUCCACGCUCCACUGUCCUCAGCAAGUAGAUGUCCUCUUAGUCUACAGAAGAAAACAUUCUUUGCCAUUCUUCAUCCCCUGUUCCAAGCCAUGUAUACUCAUGCUGAUGAGAGAGGACCAUUACCCUCAAGGCACUGUCCACACCAUCCUCAAAGUAAAUGGCAACAGUCCAGUGUUCAUAAAUGAGGCCAAGAUGUGUCAAGAGUAUUUUCCAACUACAUGAUGAACUUUAUGUUUUCACCUGUGUACUUCUUAUUACAAUGCAAUUAAAAGAAGAAAAGGGACAGCA